rnacentral:misc_RNA from 1 species
GAUGAAGAACGUAGUGAAUUGCGAUAAGUAAUGUGAAUUGCAGAAUUCAGUGAAUCAUCGAAUCUUUGAACGCACAUUGCGCCCGCCAGUAUUCUGGCGGGCAUGCCUGUCUGAGCGUCAUUUCAACCCUCAUGCCCCUAGGGCGUGGUGUUGGGGAUCGGCCAAAGCCCGCGAGGGACGGCCGGCCCCUAAAUCUAGUGGCGGACCCGUCGUGGCCUCCUCUGCGAAGUAGUGAUAUUCCGCAUCGGAGAGCGAUGAGCCCCUGCCGUUAAACCCCCAACUUUCCAAGGUUGACCUCAGAUCAGGUAGGAAUACCCGCUGAACUUAAGCAUAUCAAUAAGCGGAGGA